rnacentral:rRNA from 1 species
UACGGGAGGCAGCAGUGGGGAAUAUUGCACAAUGGGCGAAAGCCUGAUGCAGCUAUGCCGCGUGUAUGAAGAAGGCCUUAGGGUUGUAAAGUACUUUCAUCGGGGAGGAAAAAACAAAACUAAUAAUUUUAUUUCUUGACGUUACCCGAAAAAGAAGCACCGGCUAACUCCGUGCCAGCAGCCGCGGUAAUACGGAGGGUGCUAGCGUUAAUCAGAAUUACUGGGCGUAAAGAGCACGUAGGUGGUUUUUUAAGUCAGAUGUGAAAUCCCUGGGCUUAACCUAGGAACUGCAUUUUGAAACUGAAAUACUAGAGUAUCGUAGAGGGAGGUAGAAUUCUAGGUGUAGCGGUGAAAUGCGUAGAUAUCUGGAGGAAUCCUGUGGCGAAAGCGGCCUCCUAAACGAAUACUGACACUGAGGUGCGAAAGCGUGGGGAGCAAACAGGGAUUAGAUACC